GGGCAGAUGGUGUAAUGGUAACACUCCAAAAUCUGGUUUUGGAGAUGGAGGUUCGAAUCCUUCUCUGCGCA
rnacentral:tRNA from 1 species